ACGGAAGGCAGCAGUGAGGAAUAUUGGUCAAUGGGCGGAAGCCUGAACCAGCCAAGUCGCGUGAAGGAUGAAGGUAUUAUGUAUUGUAAACUUCUUUAGCAGCAGAGUAAUAAGGGGGUCGUGACCCCCGAUGCAAGUAUGCUGAAAAUAAGGAUCGGCUAACUCCGUGCCAGCAGCCGCGGUAAUACGGAGGAUCCGAGCGUUAUCCGGAUUUAUUGGGUUUAAAGGGUGCGCAGGCGGUUUUUUAAGUCAGUGGUUAAAUUGUGAGGCUCAACCUCAUCACGCCAUUGAUACUGGAAGACUUGAUUGCGGUUGAGGUUGGCGGAAUUCGUCGUGUAGCGGUGAAAUGCAUAGAUAUGACGAAGAACACCGAUUGCGUAGGCAGCUGACCAAGCCGUAAAUGACGCUCAUGCACGAAAGUGCGGGGAUCGAACAGGAUUAGAUACCCUGGUA
rnacentral:rRNA from 1 species